rnacentral:rRNA from 1 species
UACAGAGGUCCCGAGCGUUGUUCGGAUUCACUGGGCGUAAAGGGUGCGUAGGUGGCAUGGUAAGUUUGAUGUGAAAGCUCAGGGCUCAACCCUGAAAUGGCAUUGAAUACUACUGUGCUGGAGGUUUGGAGGGGGGACUGGAAUUCUUGGUGUAGCAGUGAAAUGCGCAGAUAUCAGGAGGAACACCUAUUGCGAAGGCAGCUCGCUGGGACGUAACUGACGCUGAGACGCGAAAGCGUGGGGAGCAAACAGG